rnacentral:rRNA from 1 species
GAUGAACGCUAGCGGGAGGCCUAAUACAUGCAAGUCGAGCGGUAGAGUCCUUCGGGACUUGAGAGCGGCGCACGGGUGAGUAACGCGUACAUGACCUGCCUUUAAGACCGGGAUAGCCCUGGGAAACUGGGAUUAAUACCGGAUGUGAUAAUAUGUAUAGAGAUAUAUUAUUAAAGUUGAGGCGCUUAGAGAUGGGUGUGCGUUUGAUUAGCUAGUUGGUAGGGUAACGGCCUACCAAGGCGACGAUCAAUAGGGGGCGUGAGAGCGUGACCCCCCACACGGGUACUGAGACACGGACCCGACUCCUACGGGAGGCAGCAGUAAGGAAUAUUGGUCAAUGGACGGAAGUCUGAACCAGCCAUCCCGCGUGCAGGAUGAAGGUCCUAUGGAUUGUAAACUGCUUUUAGCAGAGACGAAACGCCGACAUUUAUGUUGGUCUGACGGUAUCUGCGGAAUAAGCACCGGCUAACUCCGUG